rnacentral:rRNA from 1 species
GUGCCAGCAGCCGCGGGUAAGACGGAGGGGGCAAGCGUUGUCCGGACUCACUGGGCGUAAAGAGCACGUAGGCGGCAGGAUGCGUCGGCGCUGAAAGCCCGMGGCUUAACCGGGGCGAGGUGCGUCGAUACGAUCCCGCUCGAGGCAGUUAGAGGUUAGCGGAAUUCCGGGUGUAGUUGUGAAAUGCGUAGAUAUCCGGAGGAACAUCUGUGGCGAAGGCGGCUAACUGGGACUGACCUGACGCUGAGGUGCGAAAGCGUGGGGAGCGAACCGGAUUAGAUACCCGGGUAGUCCACGCCGUAAACGAUGUCGGCUCGGUGUUUGGGGAUGAGUACCAUUCCUGAGUGCCUCAGUAUACACGGUAAGCCCGACCCGCCUGGGGACUACGAGCGCAAGCUUAAAACUCAAAGGAAUUGACGGGGGCCCGCACAAGCAGCGGAGCGUGUGGUUUAAUUCGACGCAACACGAAGAACCUUACCCAGGUUUGACAUGCUUCUGCAAGCCCACGGAGACGUGGGACCUUAGAGGGUGAAGCACAGGUGCUGCAUGGCUGUCGUCAGCUCGUGUCGUGAGAUGUUGGGUUAAGUCCCGCAACGAGCGCAACCCUCGCUGCCAGUUACCAGUGUCUGGCGGGACAGCCGUCUAGAGAGACGGAGGAAGGCGGGGAUGACGUCAAGUCCGCAUGGCCCUUACGCCUGGGGCGACACACACGCUACAAUGGCCGGGACAGUGCGCUGCGACCUCGCAAGAGAGAGCUAAUCGCCAAACCCGGUCUCAGUGCAGAUCGGGGGCUGCAACUCGCCCCCGUGAAGAUGGAGUUGCUAGUAACCGCGUAUCAGCCAUGGCGCGGUGAAUACGUGCCCGGGCCUUAUACUCACCGCCCGUCAAGGC